AUUGCCAAAUUGAAGCCUUUGAAGAUUUGAAAAUUGACUAUAUGUGUUUGCCUUCUUUAUUUUUAAUUUUUUUUAAUCUUUCUGAUGUAUUAUAUGUAUAGGGUUUCUCAUAGAGCUAAUAAUGUACUCUGAAUAGAUAUGGGGUUAGGAUAUUAAUCUUAUGAUGCUCCAUGAUGUGUUUAUUAAAAAGUGACGAGUGGGAUAUCAUUUUAGGUUGAUG
rnacentral:misc_RNA from 1 species